rnacentral:rRNA from 1 species
ACUCCUACGGGAGGCAGCAGUGGGAAUCUUGGACAAUGGGGCACCCGUAGCUCCAGCCAUGCCGCGUGAGUGAUGAAGGCCUUAGGGUCGUAAAGCUCUUUCGCCUGUGAUGAUAAUGACAGUAGCAGGUAAAGAAACCCGCCGUACACUCCGUGCCAGCAGCCGCGGUAAUACGGAGGGGGUUAGCGUUGUUCGGAAUUACUGGGCGUAAAGCGCGCGUAGGCGGAC